ensembl:miRNA
AAGCAUUAGGUUGGUGCAAAAGUAAUCGCAGUUUUGCCAUCACUUUUAAUGGCAAAAACUGCAAUUACUUUUGCACCAACCUAAUA